CCGGAAGAUCGGGCGGUCGCGGUGCGCUGAAAAAUGCGUAUUGAGGAAAGUCCGGGCUUCACGGAAACACGAUACCGGAUAACGUCCGGCUGGGGAGACCCAAGGGAAAGCGCAGCAGAAAAAAUUCCGCCGAUGUCUUCGGACAGGCAAGGUUGAAAUGGUGCGGUAAGAGCGCACCGCUUUUCCGGCGACGGAAAAGGCACG
rnacentral:RNase_P_RNA from 1 species